rnacentral:rRNA from 1 species
CAACCGGGAUUGCCUCAGUAACGGCGAGUGAAGCGGCAACAGCUCAAAUUUGAAAUCUGGCUCCUUCGGGGUCCGAGUUGUAAUUUGUAGAAGAUGCUUUGGGUGUGGCCCUGGUCUAAGUUCCUUGGAACAGGACGUCAUAGAGGGUGAGAAUCCCGUACGUGGCUGGAGGCCUACGCCCAUGUAAAGCUUUUUCGACGAGUCGAGUUGUUUGGGAAUGCAGCUCUAAAUGGGUGGUAAAUUUCAUCUAAAGCUAAAUAUUGGCCAGAGACCGAUAGCGCACAAGUAGAGUGAUCGAAAGAUGAAAAGCACUUUGGAAAGAGAGUUAAAUAGUACGUGAAAUUGUUGAAAGGGAAGCGCUUGCAACCAGACUUGCACGUCGUUGAUCAUCUGGUGUUCUCACCGGUGCGCUCAGCGACGUUCAGGCCAGCAUCAGUUCUGGUGGUUGGAUAAAGGCCCUGGGAAUGUGACUCUCUCCGGAAAGUGUUAUAGCCCAGGGUGCAAUGCAGCCUACCGGGACUGAGGACCGCGCUUCGGCUAGGAUGCUAGCGUAAUGGUUGUAAGCGA